UCCGGGUUAGCUCAGUGGUAGAGCAGAGUCUUGAUAAGGCUUUGGUCGGUGGUUCGAAUCCAUCACCCGGAA
rnacentral:tRNA from 1 species